rnacentral:rRNA from 1 species
UACGAAGGGUGCAAGCGUUACUCGGAAUUACUGGGCGUAAAGCGUGCGUAGGUGGUCUUUUAAGUCCGUUGUGAAAGCCCUGGGCUCAACCUGGGAAUGGCAGUGGAUACUGGAAGGCUGGAGUACGGUAGAGGAGGGUGGAAUUCCCGGUGUAGCGGUGAAAUGCGUAGAGAUCGGGAGGAACAUCAGUGGCGAAGGCGGCCCUCUGGACCAGUACUGACGCUGAGGCACGAAAGCGUGGGGAGCAAACAGG